rnacentral:rRNA from 1 species
UGAGGAUUUUUGGACAGGGGAGGCAACUUUGAUCCAGCCAUGCCGCGUGCAGGAAGCCGGCCUUUUGGGUUGUAAAUUGAUUUUAUAGGGGAAGAGUCCUCCCGACGAGCUGGGGGGUAGACGGUACUCUAAGAAUAAGGAUCGGCUAACUUCGUGCCAGCAGCCGCGGUAAUACGAAGGAUGCAAGCGUUAUCCGGAAUUAUUGGGUUUAAAGGGUCCGCAGGCGGGCCAUUAAGUCAGUGGUGAAAUCUCUCAGCUUAACUGGAAGCUUGCCGUUGAAACUGGUGGUCUAGAGUAGUUGUGUUGUGGGUGGAAAAUGCAGUGUAGUGGUGAAAUACAUAGAUAUUGGGCAGAACACCGAUUGGAAAACGGAUCACAAACAAUUUACUGACGCUGAGGGACGAAAGCGUGGGGAGCAAACAGGAUUAGAUACCCCGGUAGUCCACG